UACGUAGGGUGCAAGCGUUGUCCGGAAUUAUUGGGCGUAAAGAGCUCGUAGGCGGUUUGUUGCGUCGGCUGUGAAAACCUGAGGCUCAACCUCAGGCCUGCAGUCGAUACGAGCAGACUAGAGUGUUGCAGGGGAGACUGGAAUUCCUGGUGUAGCGGUGAAAUGCGCAGAUAUCAGGAGGAACACCGAUGGCGAAGGCAGGUCUCUGGGCAUUAACUGACGCUGAGGAGCGAAAGCAUGGGGAGCGAACGGG
rnacentral:rRNA from 1 species